CUCGUAGGUGGCCAACUAAGUCAGACGUGAAAUCCCCAGGCUUAACCUGGGAACUGCGUCUGAUACUGGAUGGCUUGAAUUCGGGAGAGGGAUGCAGAAUUCCAGGUGUAGCGGUGAAAUGCGUAGAUAUCUGGAGGAAUACCGGUGGCGAAGGCGGCAUCCUGGACCGAGAUUGACACUGAGGAGCGAAAGCCAGGGAGCGAA
rnacentral:rRNA from 1 species